rfam:Lysinibacillus sp. BF-4 contig00017, whole genome shotgun sequence.
GAGAGCCGUAUACUUUGAGAGGAGUACGUACGGUUCGGGGAGAGGUUCUUUGGAAACCUACUACAGCAAUGUAGCAAGGCGCUGAGUUCCUACUCUAC